rnacentral:rRNA from 1 species
GGGAGCUUGCUCCUGGAUUAGUGGCGAACGGGUGAGUAACACGUGAGUAACCUGCCCUUAACUCUGGGAUAAGCCUGGGAAACUGGGUCUAAUACCGGAUAUGACUUCUCAUCGCAUGGUGGGGGGUGGAAAGCUUUUUGUGGUUUUGGAUGGACUCGCGGCCUAUCAGCUUGUUGGUGAGGUAAUGGCUUACCAAGGCGACGACGGGUAGCCGGCCUGAGAGGGUGACCGGCCAUACUGGGACUGAGACACGGCCCAGACUCCUACGGGAGGCAGCAGUGGGGAAUAUUGCACAAUGGGCGCAAGCCUGAUGCAGCGACGCCGCGUGAGGGAUGACGGCCUUCGGGUUGUAAACCUCUUUCAGUAGGGAAGAAGCGAAAGUGACGGUACCUGCAGGAGAAGCGCCGGCUAACUACGUGCCAGCAGCCGCGGUAAUACGUAGGGCGCAAGCGUUAUCCGGAAUUAUUGGGCGUAAAGAGCUCGUAGGCGGUUUGUCGCGUCUGCCGUGAAAGUCCGGGGCUCAACUCCGGAUCUGCGGUGGGUACGGGCAGACUAGAGUGAUGUAGGGGAGACUGGAAUUCCUGGUGUAGCGGUGAAAUGCGCAGAUAUCAGGAGGAACACCGAUGGCGAAGGCAGGUCUCUGGGCAUUAACUGACGCUGAGGAGCGAAAGCAUGGGGAGCGAACAGGAUUAGAUACCCUGGUAGUCCAUGCCGUAAACGUUGGG